CUUUGCAGGUGGGGAAACUGAGGCAGGGAGCAGCCCACACAGAGGCCUGCAGACGUGCUGAGCCCAGCUCUCCUGCCCCCCCCCCCCCCCCCAAAAUCUGCCCUGGCCCCCCCUGCCAGUGCCUCGGUGCCCGUCUCCCCCCCGCCCCGGCGUGUGCGCUUGGGGGAGCAGCGGGCGCUGAUCGCGGCUGACAGCUGCUCGGCGUUUGCCGGGUGCGUGCCGCCCUUUCCGAGGGGACCGCGGAGCCGGCAGACGGGUGACAGACGCAGACCCCGCUUCGUGGUGGGGGGGGGGGGGGGGGUCUUGGGGUUGGGAGCAGGGUGGCGGGGGCCCCCCGCUGCUGACCUGCGGGGCCUGAUCCUGCUGCUCCCCGUCGCGCCAUGAUUAUCCGCCCCAGACGCUUAACCCCGGGGUAUUUCCGUCUGCUCCAGAUGCAGCUGGCGGCGGGGCGGGGGGCCGAGCCGGGGGGGCGACUGCUGACCCCCCUGGCCCUGCUGCUGGCGGCUGCCGGGCUCUGCCUCUCCUUCUACAGCGCCCGGAGGAUGGCCGGCCCCACCAAAACCCCCCCAGAGCCGUGAGGAGGGGGCCGGGGUCCCCCUCUGCCCGCUGUCCACCCCCCCACCCCACGCCCGAACGGAGCUGCCGGAUGCGGAUCCUUUCCAGCUGAUCUGCGCCACAUCCAGCCCUUCCCUCCAUGCCUGGGCGGUGCGAUGCCCCAGGGCUUGGGGACACGCACCUCUGUCCCCCUGUCCGUCCCCGUUUUUGGGAGCCGGUUCAACAACCAGGAUGGAGAACGGAGAAGCCACCUCCUGGUUCCAGAGCCGCCGGCUGAGCCCCUGACCGAACCGCUGCGAGACACCACGAUCCCGCCACAACACGAACAGAGCCUGAACGGAUAGAUGGAUGGACGAUGGAGCCUGGUGCUCCGUCCAUCUCCAUCUUCUCCCCAAGUAGAAGGGGCCCGGGGGGGGCCCCUUGCACCCCGCUGGCAGCCAACGCAGCCCCCCCAUCCCUGCGUGGGGGGACCGCGUCGUGGCCGCAGCCAGCCCGGCCCUGCGGAAAGGAGGUCAGCGCCGAAAGCCGUUAGGUAACGCGGCGGGGAGGGCUGGGACCAGACCGACCUCUGCAACAACGGGGUCGGGGGGAGACGGGGCCACGGGGUCAGCGACGUGUCCCCUGGGCAGGCACGUCCCGCUGGGAUGGCGUCUGCAACCUUCCCGGUCCCCCUCACGCUCAGCAAACCCACGCAGAGCUGCAGCAUUUCAUCUCCCCGGAGCCGGGGACAAAUCCGGGCGGGCUGCGUAGAAAUAAACCCUUUUCCUGCUGAGCACA